UGUCUUGAAGGUUAAGCCAUGCAUAUUGCUGUAUAAGCACAAUCGCAAGAUGAUGAAUAGCUCAGUAAAGCAGUUGUGCCUUAUGUGACAGUGCUGUUAGAUGGAUAGCCAUGGCAAUUCAAGAACUAAUACUUGUACCAAAUCGCAUCUGUCAUGGAAUGGUGUUGUUUACCAUAUGCAGAGCCAUCCAGGUUGUACUGGGUCUGAGAUGAGCUGUGAUACCCGAGUAAACUACGCAGCAUCUGAAAGUAGGAAGUCAUUCAAAUCUCUGACCUAUCAGCUACUGAUGGUAAGAUACUUGCAUACCAUGGCAAUGACAGGUAACGGCGAAUUAAGGUUUUGUUCCGGAGAGGGAGCCUGAGAGACGGCUACCACAUCCAAGGAUGGCAGCAGGUGCGCAAAUUACCCAAUCUGGAUGUAGUGAGGUAGUGACAAGAAAUGACAAUGCAGGGCAUCAGUGUCUUGUAAUCGGAAUGAGUAGAUUCUUCGGCUUUCUGUGAGCAACGAUUGGAGGGCAAGUCUGGUGCCAGCAGCCGCGGUAAUUCCAGCUCCAUCAGUGUACAUUAAAAUUGUUGCAGUUGAAAAACUCGUAGUUGGAUCUAUGCCAAGAUUAACUGGUCCAGCCUUUGGUUGAGAACCCAAGUUGUUAAAAUGCAAACUGUUGAACACUGUGGCUGCACUUAACUGUGUGGUGCCUUGUCCAAGUACACUACCUUAAUAAAUUUAUAGUGCUUCAAGCAGGCAGAAGCCUUGGAUAUAAUAGCAUGGAAUAGCAUGAUUAUAUCUGGUCGUAAUUCUGGCUCCCGGACAUGGAUGAUGAUGGACAGGGACACUUGAGGGCAUACAGACUCAACUUGAAGAGGUGAAAUUCUGAGAUUUGUUGAAGAUGCUCCGCUGUGAUAGUAUUUGUCAAGAAUGUGCCCAUUGAUCAAGAAUGAAAGUUCAGGGUUUGAAGAUGAUUAGAUACCGUCAUAAUCUGAACCAUAAACUAUGCCAGCUAAGGAUUGGAGGUGGUGUCUGUGAUGAUGCCCUCAGCAUUUUCUGAGAAAUCAAAGUUUUUGGGCUCUGGGGGGAGUAUGGUUGCAAGACUCAAACUUAAAGGAAUUGACGGAAGGGCACCAUCAGAAGUGGAGCCUGCGGCUUAAUUUGACUCAACACGUGAAAAUUCACCAGGUCCGGACAUGGCAAGGAUUGAUGCACUAGAGCUUCUUCUUGAUUCCAUGGGUGGUGGUGCAUGGCCGUUCUUAGUUGGUGGAGUGGUCUGUCUGGUUAAUUCUGUGAACGAACGAGAUCUCUACCUGCUAAAUCAUACUGUGUAGCUUUGGUUGCUUGAAGUAUUUCUUAGAUGAACCUUGUGUGCUUACUACAUGGAAGCCUGAGGCAAUAACAGGUCUGUGAUGCCCUUAGAUGUGCUGGGCUGCACGCGUGCUACACUGACAUAUGCAACAAGUCUCUGUCUUUCCUGAAACGGUAAGGGAAUUUCUUCAAAUCUGCCACGGCAGGGAUUGGUGAUUGCAAUUAUUCAUCCUCAACAAGGAACUCCUAGUAAGUGUAAGUCAUCAGCUUGUGCUGAUUAUGUCCCUGCCCUUUGUACACACCGCCCGUCGCUCCUACUGAUUGAGUGCUCCGGUAAAUAGUUUGGACAUAGCAUUGUUGAUCUUUGACAAAAGCACUAUCGAAGUUCGAUGAACCUUAUCACUUAGAGGAAG
rnacentral:rRNA from 1 species